GCAGCUCAGUGGUAGAGCAUCUGCUUUGCAUGCAAAAGGUCCCAUGUUCAAUGCGCAGCAUCUCCA